rnacentral:rRNA from 1 species
AACGAACGCUGGCGGCAUGCCUAACACAUGCAAGUCGAACGAAGCCUUCGGGCUUAGUGGCGCACGGGUGCGUAACGCGUGGGAAUCUGCCCUUGGGUUCGGAAUAACAGUUAGAAAUGACUGCUAAUACCGGAUGAUGUCUUCGGACCAAAGAUUUAUCGCCCAAGGAUGAGCCCGCGUAGGAUUAGGUAGUUGGUGGGGUAGUGGCCCACCAAGCCGACGAUCCUUAGCUGGUCUGAGAGGAUGAUCAGCCACACUGGGACUGAGACACGGCCCAGACUCCUACGGGAGGCAGCAGUGGGGAAUAUUGGACAAUGGGCGAAAGCCUGAUCCAGCAAUGCCGCGUGAGUGAUGAAGGCCUUAGGGUUGUAAAGCUCUUUUACCAGGGAUGAUAAUGACAGUACCUGGAGAAUAAGCUCCGGCUAACUCCGUGCCAGCCGCCGCGGUAA